CCCGCCAGCCCUCCCCCUAGGGUAGGACAGAUUGUGGGGAGAGGGAGACAGAUGUAGUCCUAUAAAGGGAUCUGCUCACUAAUCUGUAGGAAGUGCAAACGACAUACCUAGAAGAGAGAUUAAUAAUCAGUAUAGCAGACUAACUCAAGGGUCUCCCCAAAGGCUUACUAUUUUAUUUAUCAUUUAGUUACUUAUUUAUUUAUUAGAGUUUUCAUUUUAAAGAAGGGAUAUACCUAUGAAAUGAUCGUGAUCCAGUCAGACCAGUGUGUGUGUGUGUGUGUGUGUGUGUGUGUGUGUGUGUGUGUGUGUGUAUAAAUUGCAAACUUCCUUUUGGAUUGCGCUUCCCCAUACCUGGAUGAGUGGAGAGGAGCUAGCCAGACAGCUCCUUCUGGUGAAGGGGCCUCCUGUGCAACUAGUCUCCUUUAUACUUGAAAACAUGUCAGUUGCCUUUCUUGUUCUAGACUUCCCCAUAAUUAAAUGAGAUAAAGAGGGGCUGGGGAGCUAGCUCAGCACUUAGGAACACUUGCUGCUCUUACAGCAUACCCGAGUCAGGUGGCUCACAGCUUCUUUAACUGCAGUUCCUGGGCAUCUGAUGUCCCCUGCUGGCUUCCCUGGACACCUACACUCACAUGCACAUAUACAGACAGGCAAAUAAAGGAAAAACAAAUGAAUUCUGUUUGUUAAAAAUGAGAUAAAGAGUAAUUGUUAUUCUUCAUAAGAAUCAUACCCAUUAAGCAUCCAGAAGCCAUGGACAUUUAGGCAUUCACAUUGGUUUCUCCACACAGGACUAGGGAGAAGUAGUCACUUGCCUAACAGAUUCAUUGGAAGAUCCAAUUAUUCUUCUUAAUUACUAACCACGAAGCCUAAAAACAGCUCUGUUAUCAAGGUACCUUUGCAAGGUGUAGAAAUACCUAGGACUUCAGCAGCCUGGAUAGCAGUGGACAACGCCAAGGACUUCAGCCUCUAGUGUCCCACUGUCCACAUGAAAUCUAGGCUCAACUUUUUGGAAAUAACUAUCAAGCAAUCAAUUAAUCAAUCAGGCAUUCAGCAUGAAAGUACCUUAGCAAAAUUUUCACUAGGUAAUGAAUAAUACAUGGCACUCCAGUCUAUUGACUGUGGUAAAUGAUUUAAGGCAAGGUGCUGCAACAAGUUCCUUUAAAUAAAAUCAAAAUAAAAAGUUUACCACAAUCAUAAUCAAGUGUUCAGUCAUCUUCCUAUUGACCCACAUAGCAUCUUUCUUCAGGGACAUUUGGAGUUAUUUCUUCCCCCCUUACAAACAGACCAGAACAAAUUGAUGAAUUGAGCUUUCAGUAUGCUAAUUUAGAUAUUAUAAAUAUUUAAUUAACAUCUCUAAUAGCCAGACAUAGAGGGCCUCCGAUCUACUUUACAGUGUUAGUAAUCUAAAGUAAAUGCUUUCCCCAUUAAUAGCCUGAUGCCACCUUAGCAGCCUCCUUGCUAAAAAGGAAGGCUCUGUUUAGCCCAAAAGGAGAGGAGUACUAAGCACUCUUCACCAGGCAGGGGCUUAUUCCAGCUUGCAGAGGAACCUGAGGACAAUGUCAACCCUGUACAGAUUCUACCUUGUCUAGUUUUUAUAUGAGGCUGCCCUAAGAAUAAAGCAGAUUGUUCCAUUUUUCAAGGCAAGCCAAUCAUUUGAGGUUGCACUAGGAUGUACAUUUUACUAUAUGCAUUUCAAUUUUAUUUAUUUACUCAUAUUUAUAUACAUGAGGUCAUUUCUUUUGCCUGCGGAUAUAUGUCUGUAUCAUACACGAGCAUGAUGCCCAUGAAGGUCAAAAGAGUGUAUUGCUCGAUUCCAUGGAAUUGGAUUUAUGGAUGCUUGUAAGCCAUUGUGCAGGUGCUGGGAAAGGCCCGUUGUGGUCUAUAAGAUCAGGAAGUGCUCUAAGCACUAAGCCAUCUCCAGGACCUUGUAUGCAUUUUAGUAAGGUAGAUCCUACAGUAGAUCACAGCUCAUGUGUGAUAAACUUCCCAGCACGGACUAUGCUAGCCUUUCCUGUGGGAAGUGGUAUCAAAAAGAAAUCUGAACCUCAAAGGAUCCAAGUUGAGGUCCAAUGGCACUCACUUGCAAGAGGGCUCUUGGGUAAGUCUCUUUCCUAAGUGCCUUAAAUUUCCCCUUUAAAAUAGAGAUGGUUAGGUCUAGAGAGAUGAUGGCUUGGCUCUUGCUGAUCUUCCAAAGGACUGGAAUUCAGUUCUCAGCGUCUAUGCUGGGCAGCUCCCAAUGACCAGGAACUCCAGCUCCAGGGAGUCCCACUCUGCUCUUCUGCCUCCCAGCAGCACUUUACAGCUCCAAAUGACCCCUUGUUUCUGUGUUCUGCAGCGGGAGAAACUAGGAGGCUUAAACUGCUGGGCGGCACAAAACCAGGUGACAGGAAUCAGGCCAAAACUGAGGGCUCAAGAAACCAGAAACUCCCUGGGAAGAUCUGACUCAGACAGGAAAACCUGGUGAUGGCAAGAUGCAUGAAAAGAAAAAAACCUCAGGAGUGUUCAAAACACUGGGAAGUCAUCCUACAUAGAGCAUCUGUCAAAGAAUUUGAUACAAAACAGAACUGACUUCUUGGAUGUUGGAAAAUAGCAGUCCAGAACUAUUCUUUUUGAAGUUCGCAGAGAGAAAGGCCAGUGGGGAAGCGAUGGAGGACUGGCUGGUGCAGAGAGUAAGCAGGAGCUCUGGGUUGAAGAUGACAGAGUCUGGUCAUGGACAGCAUAAAUUUCUUCUGUCCUUUUUAAAGGCGGAAUCUCCUUAGCAUAGACUUGUACUGAAUUUGCUAUGUAGACAAGGAUGAUCUUGAACUCCUGAUCCUCCUAUUCUACCUCCAGAUCACUGGGAUUAUAGCCAUGUGUCACUAUGCCCAGUUUUUAUGUCCUAUGGGAGAUCUAACACAGGGCCUCAUGCAUGCUAGAGUAACCACUCUACCAACAAAGUUACAUGCCUACUACAUACCCAGCCCCUAUUCACACCUUUUAAUAUUUAAAACCUUUAUCAGCUAAUGGGAUUUAAAAAAUAUCCAUGUUAAAAAAGA